rnacentral:rRNA from 1 species
UACGUAGGUGACAAGCGUUAUCCGGAAUUACUGGGCGUAAAGCGCACGCAGGCGGCUGAGUAAGUCUGACGUGAAAUCUCCCGGCUUAACCGGGAGCGGUCGUUGGAAACUACUUGGCUUGAGGCGAUGAGAGGGGUGUGGAAUUCCCGGUGUAGUGGUGAUAUGCGUAGAUAUCGGGAGGAACACCAGUGGCGAAGGCGGCUUUCUGGGCCUUACCUGACGCUGAGACGCGAAAGCGUGGGGAGCGAACCGG